GUGGCGUCACCACGCCCACGUCACGCUCGGAGUGCGUGGCGUCACUUCCGGCGGCCUGGGUGGCGUUGGGCGCAGGGUGCGUGCACUGCCCCCAGUAACGGUGUGGUGACAGCUCUGCAUCAGCACGCAGAAAAACGCAAAUGCAAAAUAAGAUGGCGCAAGAAAACACGAGCUAGCACUAGCGAAUUCAGCCCAGGCCCUGGGAGAUGACAGCGAUGAUGAUGGUGAUGAUGAUACAGCAUCUUCCGCUGACGUCUGCCGUCGCUCACACCAGCCACCCUGUCUGGACAUUUUCAGUCACAUCAAAAGAACUUCAGGGUCUGACACCCACCCCACCCACCAAAUGUUUUCAGUUUAACAAUAUUAAAAACUAAUGGUAGACUACA